rnacentral:tRNA from 1 species
GGCGCAGCUGGUUGCAGGUACGGCCGCGCUCGCCUUCCAGGCGGGCUUGCGGCAGCCCGGUUUCCUGCAUCGCGCGUUCGAUCAGCGCUGGGCCG